rnacentral:rRNA from 1 species
UACGUAGGGUGCGAGCGUUGUCCGGAAUUACUGGGCGUAAAGAGCUCGUAGGUGGUUUGUCGCGUUGUUCGUGAAAACCGGGGGCUUAACCCUCGGCGUGCGGGCGAUACGGGCAGACUGGAGUACUGCAGGGGAGACUGGAAUUCCUGGUGUAGCGGUGGAAUGCGCAGAUAUCAGGAGGAACACCGGUGGCGAAGGCGGUUCUCUGGGCCUUACCUGACGCUGGAGGAGCGAAAAGCAUGGGGAGCAAACAGG